rnacentral:rRNA from 1 species
GAGUUUGAUCGUGGCUCAGAUUGAACGCUGGCGGCAUGCCUUACACAUGCAAGUCGAACGGCAGCAUGAUCUAGCUUGCUAGAUUGAUGGCGAGUGGCGAACGGGUGAGUAAUACAUCGGAACGUGCCCUGUAGUGGGGAUAACUAGUCGAAAGAUUAGCUAAUACCGCAUACGACCUGAGGGUGAAAGUGGGGGACCGCAAGGCCUCAUGCUAUAGGAGCGGCCGAUGUCUGAUUAGCCAGUUGGUGGGUAAAGGCCCACCAAGGCGACGAUCAGUAGCUGGUCUGAGAGGACGAUCAGCCACACUGGGACUGAGACACGGCCCAGACUCCUACGGGAGGCAGCAGUGGGGAAUUUUGGACAAUGGGCGAAAGCCUGAUCCAGCAAUGCCGCGUGUGUG